rnacentral:rRNA from 1 species
GGAGAGUUUGAUCCUGGCUCAGGAUGAACGCUAGCUACAGGCUUAACACAUGCAAGUCGAGGGGAACUGAGACACGGUCCAAACUCCUACGGGAGGCAGCAGUGAGGAAUAUUGGUCAAUGGGCGAGAGCCUGAACCAGCCAAGUAGCGUGCAGGAUGACGGCCCUAUGGGUUGUAAACUGCUUUUAUAGGGGAAUAAAGUGAGCCACGUGUGGUUUUUUGCAUGUACCCUAUGAAUAAGGACCGGCUAAUUCCGUGCCAGCAGCCGCGGUAAUACGGAAGGUCCGGGCGUUAUCCGGAUUUAUUGGGUUUAAAGGGAGCGUAGGCCGGAGAUUAAGCGUGUUGUGAAAUGUAGAUGCUCAACAUCUGCACUGCAGCGCGAACUGGUUUCCUUGAGUACGCAUAAAGUGGGCGGAAUUCGUGGUGUAGCGGUGAAAUGCUUAGAUAUCACGAAGAACUCCGAUUGCGAAGGCAGCUCACUGGGGCGCAACUGACGCUGAAGCUCGAAAGCGCGGGUAUCGAACAGGAUUAGAUACCCUGGUAGUCCGCGCGGUAAACGAUGGAUGCCCGCUGUUGGGCCAACUGGUUCAGCGGCCAAGCGAAAGCAUUAAGCAUCCCACCUGGGGAGUACGCCGGCAACGGUGAAACUCAAAGGAAUUGACGGGGGCCCGCACAAGCGGAGGAACAUGUGGUUUAAUUCGAUGAUACGCGAGGAACCUUACCCGGGCUUGAAUUGCAGAGGAAGGAUUUGGAGACAAUGACGCCCUUCGGGGCCUCUGUGAAGGUGCUGCAUGGUUGUCGUCAGCUCGUGCCGUGAGGUGUCGGCUUAAGUGCCAUAACGAGCGCAACCCCUCUCCAUAGUUGCCAUCAGGUUAAGCUGGGCACUCUGUGGACACUGCCACCGUAAGGUGUGAGGAAGGUGGGGAUGACGUCAAAUCAGCACGGCCCUUACGUCCGGGGCUACACACGUGUUACAAUGGCAGGUACAGAGAGCCGGUCGUAUGCAAAUACGAUCCAAUCCUUAAAGCCUGUCUCAGUUCGGACUGGGGUCUGCAACCCGACCCCACGAAGCUGGAUUCGCUAGUAAUCGCGCAUCAGCCAUGGCGCGGUGAAUACGUUCCCGGGCCUUGUACACACCGCCCGUCAAACCAUGAAAGCCGGGGGCGCCUGAAGUCCGUGACCGCAAGGAGCGGCCUAGGGCGAAACUGGUAAUUGGGGCUAAGUCGUAACAAGGUA